UCUGGCACUGUAAGGAGACAUGAGAGGUGUAGCAUAAGUAGGAGAUGGCAACAUCGCCGGUGAAAUACCACUACUUUCAUCGUUUCUUUACUUACUCGGUUGGGCGGAGCGCGUGCCCCGAGGGCUUACGCCCCGGCGGUCACGUGUUCUAGAGUCAAGCGUGUAAGAGUGGCGUGAGACCUCGGCCGAUCGCCGUUAAUACUCCCGCGUGAUCCGAUUCGAGGACACUGCCAGGCGG
rnacentral:ncRNA from 1 species